GCUGUGGAGUCUUUUACAAUCCUAUCUCUCUGUAACUUUUAAAAAUCAUUUUUUUGACAUAGCUAUGGCAGGGUUGGAUGUGGUCUGGUUGCCAUGUUUUGGUCUGUGUAUCCUAAACCACUGUUGGUAUCUCUUCAUUUUAGGCUGAAAAUGGAAUUGAUGAACUGGAAGGAAACAGUUGCUUUGGAGAAAGGCCACGUUCCAGAUAUGGGGCUCAGUGAGCUGAUUGUGGAGAGGCUGAGGAUGAAGACUGACUCCCCACCCCCAUGAAAUGAUCGGGGCUGAAGUGGAAAAAUUAAGUACUGUAACUGAAUCUUGAAAAUGGUCUGUAAUGAAACAUCCUUGAUCUGAUCCCCAAGGACAGUAGGGUUAUAAAGGAUGGAAAAGAGGAAGUGUCAGCAUUGCAGAUGGGAAACUGAGGUGCAGAGAGCUGAAGACUGAAAUUUUCAAAGGAGCCCAGUGGAGCUAGGUGAAGUUGGGAAGCCAGGGAGUCCAUGUUGCAACGUGAGGAAGUUGGGGGCAAGAACUCUGAAGACAAGAUUGGCUGGUUUUGCUUCUCCCUCCUCACCCUGGAUCCCUUAUAGGAAUCACAGAUGGAUGAUUUGAGAUGAGCCUUAAAGGAAAGGAAAAUGUAUCUUUCUCUCCACCAGCAUCAACUGUAAGAGAGAAUUUGGGGCCUGAAGAUUAAAAGAUUUGCCCCAUCUCCGAUCUGCCUCACAAAGACUCUUUGAAGUUAUGUCCAGGAAAGACUAUACUAAAAACAGGAUAAAUAAUAAAACUAGAUUGAAUGGGUGUGUAAAAGUUGGGUGUUAUUUGUACAAAAGGGCAGUGGUAGAACUGGGGGAAAUGGAGCUUUCUCAACUCUAAUCCACUGGUCUGAAUUCAGCCCAGGUCAAUAGUGGCUGUAGUUGGGAUUUUCAUAGGAGAUUUAAGGGAGCUGGAUGACAUGCUGCUUUAGGCUCCUUUGAAAAUCCCAUCUUUAAUGCAUUGCAAUUUUCAGUUGCCCUUUCUUGAAAUAAGCUAGGGCUUGAUCUCAUAUCUGAGAAAAAUAUCUGAACAGAUAUUGUAAAACUCCUCGUCACUAGUAUCGGUGCACUUGUACCAAAUUGAGGAUCAGGAUGUUAACCAACAUUGAUCUAUUUACUGCUGUGUCCAUAACUACUUUCCAUUCUUCCAUGAAUUGACUCCACUAUGUCCACUAUCUGUUUUCUACUACCAACACCAUUUAGGUUAGGCUGAGAUUUUCAGAUGCACUCAGGAUUUGGACACCCGGUUCCCAUUUAAAAAAUAAUGGGGAAUUUAACAGGCAACUCCCAUAGAUUUGAAAAUCUUAACCUAAAUGCAUUUAAACCAUGUCUCC